rnacentral:lncRNA from 1 species
GCCCGUUGCCAUUUUUGGCCAUCUGCUAAGGUACUGGGAAGUGUUAGGAUCCAGGUACCCAGGGGUGAAACAGACUCUAGCCCUGCUCUCAAGCAGUUUAUUGUCAUCAAACACCGCCAUCCAGGCAGGGCAAUUGGUGCUGGAAUGGGAACCACAGUGGGUACCGUGGCACACAGUGGACAGAGUGACCAACUGCCAGGAGUGGGCAGCACUCGGAGGAGGCUUUGUGGAAAAUAUGAUGCCCAUUCUGGGUCUUAAAGAGAUGAGUGGGCAUCUUCCGGGUGAUGAAGGGCGUGAAAAAGGCUUGUGGGGCCAAAGAACAACUUGGGUAAAAACCGGGGGAAGCGAACAAGCAUGACGUAUUGGGGUCAGUGCUGAUAGUUCUGGGAUGCUGAUGUACAAGGUGGGGCUGGGAGAUGAGGCCGGGAAAGUAGCCACAAGCCAGAGUGUAAAGGUACCAGUGUGGCCGGGUACGGUGGCUCAUGCCAAAAUCCCAGCACUUUGGGAGGCUGAGGCUGGAGUAUCACUUGAGCCCAGGAGUUUGAGACCAGCCUGGGCAACAUGGCAAAACCCUGUGUCUACAAAACAUUAAAAAAAAAAAAAUAGCCGGGCGUGGUGGAGCACACCUGGGGUCACAGCUACUCGGGAGGCUGAGGGAGGAGGAUCACUUGAAUCCAAGAGUUCGAGGCUGCAGUGAGCUAGGAUUGUGGCACUACACUCCAGCCUGAGCAACAGAGUGAGACCCUGUCUCAGAACAAAAGAGAAAAAGGUGCCUGAGUUCCAGGCAGAGGGACUGAGGCUUUAUUCUAAGGAUGGUGAGAGAGGAUGAUAGUUGAGCUGGGGCAAGGACUGGGGGGUGGAGAGGAGGGGAUGAGUUUGAAGUUCACUGAGAAGGCAGAGGGGACAGUGCUCAGUGGGCUUCCCUUCCAUAUUUGCUCAGCAAGUACUUCCUGAGGACUCCCCUGAGGCCUUGUGCUGGGCGGUGCUGGGAGUGUCGAGGUGAUUUGUAUCUUGCCCUGCUCUCAAGGGGCUCCCAGUCUGGUGGGAAAACAGGCACCGACGCAGCAUGAGGAGGGCAUGGCAGCAGUGGUGCCGUGCUGCCAGGGGCUCUGCAUGCCCUUAUCUUGAGCAUAUAGGGCUGCGGAAGGGUACAGAUCACAGCUGAGUGUUCAGAAUUUCUCUCCGAGGCCUGUGUGGAAGGACCAGGAAGAGACACUGAAGGUCAAGGUCUCUAGGAAGAAUUCUGCCAAGGCGGUUUCAGGAAGAGAUGCUGGGAAACGUAGGAAAA